rnacentral:rRNA from 1 species
UACGGAGGGGGCUAGCGUUGUUCGGAAUUACUGGGCGUAAAGCGCACGUAGGCGGAUCAGUCAGUUAGGGGUGAAAGCCCAGGGCUCAACCCUGGAACUGCCUUUAAUACUGCUGGUCUGGAGGUCGAGAGAGGUGAGUGGAAUUCCGAGUGUAGAGGUGAAAUUCGUAGAUAUUCGGAGGAACACCAGUGGCGAAGGCGGCUCACUGGCUCGAUACUGACGCUGAGGUGCGAAAGUGUGGGGAGCGAACAGG